rnacentral:rRNA from 1 species
GGUUAAGCGACUAAGCGUACACGGUGGAUGCCCUGGCAGUCAGAGGCGAUGAAGGACGUGCUAAUCUGCGAUAAGCGUCGGUAAGGUGAUAUGAACCGUUAUAACCGGCGAUUUCCGAAUGGGGAAACCCAGUGUGUUUCGACACACUAUCAUUAACUGAAUCCAUAGGUUAAUGAGGCGAACCGGGGGAACUGAAACAUCUAAGUACCCCGAGGAAAAGAAAUCAACCGAGAUUCCCCCAGUAGCGGCGAGCGAACGGGGAGGAGCCCAGAGCCUGAAUCAGUGUGUGUGUUAGUGGAAGCGUCUGGAAAGGCGCGCGAUACAGGGUGACAGCCCCGUACACAAAAAUGCACAUACUGUGAGCUCGAUGAGUAGGGCGGGACACGUGGUAUCCUGUCUGAAUAUGGGGGGACCAUCCUCCAAGGCUAAAUACUCCUGACUGACCGAUAGUGAACCAGUACCGUGAGGGAAAGGCGAAAAGAACCCCGGCGAGGGGAGUGAAAAAGAACCUGAAACCGUGUACGUACAAGCAGUGGGAGCCUCUUUUAUGGGGUGACUGCGUACCUUUUGUAUAAUGGGUCAGCGACUUAUAUUCUGUAGCAAGGUUAACCGAAUAGGGGAGCCGAAGGGAAACCGAGUCUUAACUGGGCGUUAAGUUGCAGGGUAUAGACCCGAAACCCGGUGAUCUAGCCAUGGGCAGGUUGAAGGUUGGGUAACACUAACUGGAGGACCGAACCGACUAAUGUUGAAAAAUUAGCGGAUGACUUGUGGCUGGGGGUGAAAGGCCAAUCAAACCGGGAGAUAGCUGGUUCUCCCCGAAAGCUAUUUAGGUAGCGCCUCGUGAAUUCAUCUCCGGGGGUAGAGCACUGUUUCGGCAAGGGGGUCAUCCCGACUUACCAACCCGAUGCAAACUGCGAAUACCGGAGAAUGUUAUCACGGGAGACACACGGCGGGUGCUAACGUCCGUCGUGAAGAGGGAAACAACCCAGACCGCCAGCUAAGGUCCCAAAGUCAUGGUUAAGUGGGAAACGAUGUGGGAAGGCCCAGACAGCCAGGAUGUUGGCUUAGAAGCAGCCAUCAUUUAAAGAAAGCGUAAUAGCUCACUGGUCGAGUCGGCCUGCGCGGAAGAUGUAACGGGGCUAAACCAUGCACCGAAGCUGCGGCAGCGACACUGUGUGUUGUUGGGUAGGGGAGCGUUCUGUAAGCCUGUGAAGGUGUGCUGUGAGGCAUGCUGGAGGUAUCAGAAGUGCGAAUGCUGACAUAAGUAACGAUAAAGCGGGUGAAAAGCCCGCUCGCCGGAAGACCAAGGGUUCCUGUCCAACGUUAAUCGGGGCAGGGUGAGUCGACCCCUAAGGCGAGGCCGAAAGGCGUAGUCGAUGGGAAACAGGUUAAUAUUCCUGUACUUGGUGUUACUGCGAAGGGGGGACGGAGAAGGCUAUGUUGGCCGGGCGACGGUUGUCCCGGUUUAAGCGUGUAGGCUGGUUUUCCAGGCAAAUCCGGAAAAUCAAGGCUGAGGCGUGAUGACGAGGCACUACGGUGCUGAAGCAACAAAUGCCCUGCUUCCAGGAAAAGCCUCUAAGCAUCAGGUAACAUCAAAUCGUACCCCAAACCGACACAGGUGGUCAGGUAGAGAAUACCAAGGCGCUUGAGAGAACUCGGGUGAAGGAACUAGGCAAAAUGGUGCCGUAACUUCGGGAGAAGGCACGCUGAUAUGUAGGUGAAGUCCCUCGCGGAUGGAGCUGAAAUCAGUCGAAGAUACCAGCUGGCUGCAACUGUUUAUUAAAAACACAGCACUGUGCAAACACGAAAGUGGACGUAUACGGUGUGACGCCUGCCCGGUGCCGGAAGGUUAAUUGAUGGGGUCAGCGCAAGCGAAGCUCUUGAUCGAAGCCCCGGUAAACGGCGGCCGUAACUAUAACGGUCCUAAGGUAGCGAAAUUCCUUGUCGGGUAAGUUCCGACCUGCACGAAUGGCGUAAUGAUGGCCAGGCUGUCUCCACCCGAGACUCAGUGAAAUUGAACUCGCUGUGAAGAUGCAGUGUACCCGCGGCAAGACGGAAAGACCCCGUGAACCUUUACUAUAGCUUGACACUGAACAUUGAGCCUUGAUGUGUAGGAUAGGUGGGAGGCUUUGAAGUGUGGACGCCAGUCUGCAUGGAGCCGACCUUGAAAUACCACCCUUUAAUGUUUGAUGUUCUAACGUGGACCCGUGAUCCGGGUUGCGGACAGUGUCUGGUGGGUAGUUUGACUGGGGCGGUCUCCUCCUAAAGAGUAACGGAGGAGCACGAAGGUUGGCUAAUCCUGGUCGGACAUCAGGAGGUUAGUGCAAUGGCAUAAGCCAGCUUGACUGCGAGCGUGACGGCGCGAGCAGGUGCGAAAGCAGGUCAUAGUGAUCCGGUGGUUCUGAAUGGAAGGGCCAUCGCUCAACGGAUAAAAGGUACUCCGGGGAUAACAGGCUGAUACCGCCCAAGAGUUCAUAUCGACGGCGGUGUUUGGCACCUCGAUGUCGGCUCAUCACAUCCUGGGGCUGAAGUAGGUCCCAAGGGUAUGGCUGUUCGCCAUUUAAAGUGGUACGCGAGCUGGGUUUAGAACGUCGUGAGACAGUUCGGUCCCUAUCUGCCGUGGGCGCUGGAGAACUGAGGGGGGCUGCUCCUAGUACGAGAGGACCGGAGUGGACGCAUCACUGGUGUUCGGGUUGUCAUGCCAAUGGCACUGCUCGGUAGCUAAAUGCGGAAGAGAUAAGUGCUGAAAGCAUCUAAGCACGAAACUUGCCCCGAGAUGAGUUCUCCCUGACCCUUUAAGGGUCCUGAAGGAACGUUGAAGACGACGACGUUGAUAGGCCGGGUGUGUAAGCGCAGCGAUGCGUUGAGCUAACCGGUACUAAUGAACCGUGAGGCUUAACCUU